AUUUGAGCCUGGGACCCCAGACGAAAGGAUACGCUUCCUUUUAGAACCCCUGCCAAUCUGAGGACGGGGCCACCCCACAGACGCCGUGGCUCAGCAAGCAGACCAAUGGCCGAGGAGUCUGGCAAGGGGCGCUUGGCAGAUGAGAGUGGAGGUUGUAAAUCACCCUCCAUGCAAUGGUUCAUCAUAAAGGAUAUGGAGCAAAAUUAGAGGAGGCACGAGAAGGAAAGCCGGUGAUGAACAAGGAAAGUGCCUGGUUGAAGCUAGCUUGCAAUCCCAAAGUCAGAAGGUUGCCUGGGAAGCCAUGAAACAAAGCCAAAUCAAGGCAAAGCAGACACAUGGAGAUUUUGAGACUGAGAAGAGGAAAACUGAGGACAUUCAUGUGAGAUGGUUUCAAGUUUCCCUUAGAAGGAGAAGUUAUCUUCAGAAGGUCAGGUUGGUGAGGUGGGAGUUCAAAAACAACAAAGUAUGUAGCUACCAUUGUGAGGAAGACCAUGGAAAAUGGACGAAUCAGAAUGAAAGGCUUUCUGAACAAGAGUAAGUACCCCCACUGAUGUGGCUUGGUGGUAUCACCAC
rnacentral:lncRNA from 1 species